UUGAACGCUGGCGGCAGGCCUCACACCUGCAAGUCGCGCGGAUGAAGGGAGCUUGCUCCCGGAUUCAGCGGCGGACGGGUGAGUAAUGCCUAGGAAUCUGCCUGGUAGUGGGGGAUAACGUCCGGAAACGGGCGCUAAUACCGCAUACGUCCUGAGGGAGAAAGUGGGGGAUCUUCGGACCUCACGCUAUCAGAUGAGCCUAGGUCGGAUUAGCUAGUUGGUGGGGUAAAGGCCUACCAAGGCGACGAUCCGUAACUGGUCUGAGAGGAUGAUCAGUCACACUGGAACUGAGACACGGUCCAGACUCCUACGGGAGGCAGCAGUGGGGAAUAUUGGACAAUGGGCGAAAGCCUGAUCCAGCCAUGCCGCGUGUGUGAAGAAGGUCUUCGGAUUGUAAAGCACUUUAAGUUGGGAGGAAGGGCAGUAAGUUAAUACCUUGCUGUUUUGACGUUACCAACAGAAUAAGCACCGGCUAACUUCGUG
rnacentral:rRNA from 1 species